rnacentral:rRNA from 1 species
UACGUAGGUGGCAAGCGAUACUCGGAAUCACUAGGCGUAAAGCGCAGGUAGGCGGUUUGGUAAGUCUUUUGUGAAAGCUCCCGGCUCAACUGGGAGAGGUCAAAGGAAACUACUAGGCUAGAGUGUGGUAGGGGAUACUGGAAUUCCUGGUGUAGCGGUGAAAUGCGUAGAUAUCAGGAGGAGUACCUAUGGCGAAAGCAGGUAUCUGGGCCAUCACUGACGCUGAGCUGCGAAAGCUAGGGGAGCAAACAGG